GUCACGAUCAGUGUGAGGUUGAAAUCUAUAUGGUAUUUUUUUACCUAUAGACGCGCUGGUUCGAGUCCAGCUCGUGACA
rnacentral:tRNA from 1 species